UUAAAAAAUGAAUAAAUCUAGUUGCAGUCCGCAUACAGGGACUGUAUUGCAGUCCUAAAUGAAACGGUGUGUUUUAUUACUAAACACACUGUUUCAUUAGAAGAAACGAACCCGUCUCCCCCUAGUUGAGUCUUCUCUUCUUGCUCGAAUUAAGGGUUCCCUUCUUUUGAAGAAAUCGCGACUCGCCGAGCCCCUUCAUACCAUCGUUGCCGUCGCCACUAGCCAAAUCAUCGUCGUUUGCUUCCAGAAAAGAAGACUAUAUUGCUAGUAAAUUCCUUCUUUCUUCAAUGUUGUUAAAUCAAUUCCUCUAUUAUCUCAAAAUCACAUCCAUAUCAAACCCUAAUCUAUUCUCAGAUUUGAAAUUAGUUCUCUUUGCGUGAACUGCAAGUUUUGUAUAUGCAGGCCAGUUUUCUACAUGCAGUAGUCUCUAGACAGUGACAAAAAGCACCAGUGCACCACCAAAAGAUUCAAAAGAUAACGCUUUCUGCGAUACUCCCAUCUAGUUUUAUAUUUUUUCAUAUUGGCAAAGCCAAGAUGGAAUUAUUUCUUUAUUGUAAUUGUAUUUGUUGCUCCAUUUUUAUUUUCAGAUGGGAAAAGGGUAGUUAAUACUUUUUUUUAUCAAUGAACAAGAAUUCUAUAAACUUAGCCUUACAAUAAAAAAUCUACUGUAACUUACAGUUGGUAUGCAAUGCAAUGCAAUCAGUUUUGUAAAGUUUUGAUAUCCAAUGUCUUCAUCACAUAUUUCAUUAUCUUCGAACACCUCUCCAAAAUGUUUAUGCAAAGAGAUGGCAUGUCUAAAAUUGUCGAACACUCCUAGAAAUCCAAGGCGACCUUUUUAUUCAUAUCCAAAUUACAAUAGAGAGGUAAAUACUAAUUAGUUAGUCUUGUUUGUGCAAUAUUUUUGAAGACCUUGAACUUGGCAUUAUGUAAUUAGUUAGUUUUGUUUGCUGCAGGAAAUGCCAUAUUGCGAGUACUUUUUAUGGGCAAACAUUAAAGUAGAAAAUGAAGCAAAAGUUGUUUGCGAAAGAGAACGUGACCUCCAAGAGAAAAAAGAAGAACUCCAAAAGUAAAAAGAUGAACUCCAAAAGUGGGAGGAAGAACUCCAAAAAAGGAAAUAAGAACUACAAAAUCAUCGGGGACUUGCAAGCAAGAGUCCAAAUUGCAUGUAUUGGGGAUUUGCAAUUUUAAUAUUUUGUUGUUGGAUAGGAUCAAGAACAAUUACAGAUUAAGUAAUUGUAUAUAAAAAACGUAUAACGUUGUUAAGUAGGUUGUAAUAGAUUGAUUUGCCACUUUUAUCAAUAUUGUACAAGGGACAAACCGAGUAGUUGUAUAUGAACUUUAUAAGUAAUGAUAUACUAUAUGAACUUUAUCAA